UUUCUCAACGUAGACUGUUCGGUUUAAAAUGACUGUCAGGCGUCCUUUGUCUGCAGCCAACAAAGCUGCACUGGGAGGACAUCCAGAAAUUAGCAAAGCCUGCCAAUGAAACCAAACAAGCUUAAAAACGACUCAAUACAGAAAUGCUGCCACGGCUGCCAAGCAUAUUCCUGGAUAUCAGCAAAUGCAGCUGCCGUCCAACCAGCUUUUAAAGUCAAAACCAACAUCAAGUUGGAGUGGGGUGGGAACAAGGUCAACGACUCACCCCCUCUGGCAGAGAUAUGUCCAUGAUGUGGUAAGACCCUUACCCCAUGCAACCAGAAAUUUGGACUUGCUUGUUGUACAGUAUAUAUUGAGUACCAACAUGCUUCAUCACAUCAUGGAAGAAAAUGGAUUUAAACCAUACUCCCCCUAAAAGGAAAUGAUCUCACCU